rnacentral:rRNA from 1 species
AGAGUUGAUCAUGGCUCAGGAUGAACGCUAGCGACAGGCCUAACACAUGCAAGUCGAGGGGCAGCACAAGGAGUAAUCUGAGGUGGCGACCGGCGCACGGGUGAGUAACACGUAUGCAACCUGGCUGUAAGAGGGGAAUAACCCGGAGAAAUCCGGACUAAUACCGCAUGAUACUUAGAAUCCGCAUGGAUUUUAAGUUAAACAUUUAUGGCUUACAGAUGGGCAUGCGUAUGAUUAGCUGGUUGGAGAGGUAACGGCUCCCCAAGGCAACGAUCAUUAGGGGUUCUGAGAGGAAGGUCCCCCACACUGGUACUGAGACACGGACCAGACUCCUACGGGAGGCAGCAGUGAGGAAUAUUGGUCAAUGGACGCAAGUCUGAACCAAGCCAAGUCGCGUGAAGGAAGAAUGUCCUAUGGAUUGUAAACUUCUUUUGAAGGGGAAUAAAGUACGGUACGUGUACCGUUUUGUAUGUACCCUUCGAAUAAGGAUCGGCUAACUCCGUGCCAGCCGCCGC